UAUUAAAACCUUUGACACAAAGUUUAGUCAUUUUAAUUACCUCAAGCGGAUAACCAACAACUUUUCUAUGAAUUUCUCUCUCUUCUCUCUAACUCAAAUUAAAAAAUAAAUCAAAUAAAUUUUUAAACUACCAUGCUUUACAAUUCAAUCCUAUUUCUUUUAUUUUUUUAAUUUUUCCAUAAUUCAACACUAAUUUCAUCUAGAAAAACUCUAAAGGAGAAAAAAGGUUUAAUAAUGGAAAAAAACAAAGAGAGUCAGGAGUGAAGCUCCGUCACAAAUCCUAGUUGUUUUAGAUGUAUUAGGUAAUCGGAUUAGAUCACCUCAAAAUAUCAUGACACGACACUAAGGGAAACACUAUUAUUCUUAGCAUUUUCUUGUCCCACGAUCAUAGAUCCUAAAAUGGGGAUUUUGGUUUCCAUAGAAAAUAGAAUACACCCUCAAACGAGCAGGCAGCCAAAGUUUUAGGAAACUAGGACACCCAAACUAGGAGCACAGAUUUUGCAGAAAUUAUACCUAUCCUGCUAAAAAUACUCUAAACAAUAGGGCAUGGCUCGUGUAAUGCACUUUUGAUUGGUCACCCCAAUUGAAGAAUUUUUGGCACAAGAAGCAACUGAAUGAAUCCAGAAGAGCUCCCAACCUGGCCAAAAA